rnacentral:rRNA from 1 species
ACCCGUUCCCAUACCGAACACGGAAGUUAAGCUCUUCAGCGCCGAUGGUAGUUGGGGGUUUCCCCCUGUGAGAGUAGGACGCCGCCAAGC